GGGGUUCCUAUAGAAACGCGGGCCGGGGCGCGCCCUCCGCUCGGCCCUGGUCGGGGCUGCGGCGCUUUGCACCGCGCCCCUCCCCAAAGGCUCUCUUUGCGUGGGCGCUCCCCUCCCUUUCUCUCCCCCCCCCAAAAAAAAUCAGAGCAGAAAAAAGGAUUAGAUCGGCUGAGCGCGAACUGACUCCCUCUCAAUUCUGACAUUUCAGCCUAUUAGCAUUUCUCCACGGGGCCUUCUGAAACCUAUUAAAGUGUAAUAUUAAAAACCUCUUGGCUGGGGGCCUCUCUCGCCUUCCAUCCGCCGCGCCCCCUCCAGGGAGGGCGAGACCAGGGGAAAAAAAAAAAAAAGAAAGAAAGAAAAUCUGUUGAGCUCAGAGGAAGCAGCAGCCAAGCCCCAAAAGUGCUUGGCUGGCCGCGGCGGCCGGAGGGGGAGGGGAGACCCAAUCCCCCAGACUUUGUACUUUUAUUUUGCGCUUUCAGCAAAAUCCUUUCUGGGUUGAGUAGCCGGGAGCUGCCCGCGGCAACCUACUUGGCUGCGGGCGCGAGGAGUGCGGACGCGGUCGGAGGGGCAGCCCCGCAGGGACCAGUGCCCGGCUAGGCAAUGCGUACCCUCGUAAGGAAGCUUGGAGGGGCAGAAAUCCUUGCCGAGCCUGCCUCAGAGAGCAGCUGCGGUGAUUAGAUUUUAAUUAAAACAAGAGAAGCCCGCUCUUUCGCCCCGCGCUGCGGACUCAGCGUUUUCGCAUCGUUCGUUCUAUUUUCCCCCCAAUCCAUUUUUAAGGCAACUUUUCUGGAGGGGGGGGGAUAAUGAGCUAGUUAGCACCCAUUCGUUCUAUUUUCUCUUCUCCACUUUUAGAAAAAGAGGGGGGGCAGGCUUGGAGAGCGAACUGGGGGUGUCUAAUUUAAUUCCAGUAUAAAUUUGAGGAAAAAAGUUCAGCCUCUUGAGGGCAGUUUCAAGUUGCCCUUUCUGGAGCCUCCUGCGCUGGUUUCUAGGCUGCCCUCUUUUGGAAGCUGGAGCUCUGCGUGGGGGAGGGAGGAGUGAGAAGGAAAGAAAGCCACGAAAAUAGCCGGAGCCGAGGGGAACGAGCGACGGAGCAGGGCACGCAGAGGGGCGGGGAACAGGCCACGGAGCUGGUGUCCUGCAUCAGCCGAGUAGGCCGCGUGGCUAUUGAUCCAGGGACAGCCACCUCCAAACAACCACCUCUUGCGCAGGACCUCGGGCGGAGACAACCGCAGAGGGGGGGGCAUUCACCCCUCCUGGGUGCCUCUGGAGAGCCUCCCUGUGCCAGUGACACGAUGGCAAACUGGCACGUGGCAGAUGCCAGAGGCGGAGGGUUUGGAAACCUUGCUGCGAAACACUCACCCAGGGAGCUUCGGCUCCUUCCUGGAAUUUCUAAAAGCACAUUUGGAGGGACGGAGGCCUGCUGGUCGAGCCCAGAAGAAUUUGAGCGCUGGUCUCAGUGGCGGAACGCAACCUGGGAGUGAAGAGGCGGCAGAGCCACAUUCCGGCCGCGCCUCCCCCCUGGGCCCCAGCCCCGGGCUGCCCCAGGAAGCGCCUCUGAAAACAAAGCGCUGCGGUUUCAGCCCAAGGUUAAAGUCCACCGCGAGCAUUUUUUCCCCCAGAAUCCAAGAGCGAUCGUGUUUCUCCAAAUAAACCGCCAAUAAAUCAGCACAGGGGCCGCCUGCUGAGGAGCUCUGCUGACCUUGGGGAAUGGAUUUCCUGCUAGACCCGUUGGAGGACAGGCAUGGGGAGGGGGACACCAUGCCAGCCGUGCCCCCCUCCAGAGAGAAGCGGAAGAGGGAUUGGCCAAGGGCAUUCAUGGGCGUUUAUCGUGGUACUUGUAUGCCCAGAGGGGAUGAGGCGGCUCUGGUUAUUUGGGGGGCUGGCACUGCCGGGUUGUGGGGGGUGGCUGUGGGAGAUGGUUGCUUUGAGGGAAGCUAACCGCGUGUUCACUGAGCACCCAGGGUCCCCACACUGUUCUAGGCACUGGGGAAGAGACACCAGGGACAGACAAGGCCUCUCUGGGGGCUUCCUCGUCCGGGUGUGCCUGGGUGUGUUCCGAGAGCCAGUCUGUGAGAGUGUGACGAAUGGGAUUUAUGUAUGUCAGCGCCAGGGUGACUAAUGGAGGGCCUGGCAGCACGUGUGUUUGGGGAGGGCUGUGCCUGCCUGGGGAGGGGUGCUGCGCCUGGGAGUGCGCGUGGGAGGGGGCUGCCUGGUCUCGAGGAACGCUUCUGCUACCGGAUCGCAGCUUUGUUUGGGCCUCUGAGCGCUGCCUAGCAGGCCUGUGCACGCUGAGGAGCAAGUUCCACCACCAGCCUGGCCCCCAGAGGCGCCGCCAUCCCUUCCCACCGCCCUGACCCACAUGGCCACUGCCGAUCCAGCCCAUCCCACCCCCUUCCACAGCAGAGCCCUCCAGCGUCCUCUCUUUCAGUCUGAAAAUUCCUUCUGCUGCAAAUCCGUGCAGGCCUGGACAGCCCUCCGUCACAGGGACUGUCACGCCCAUUUAACAGACCAGAAACCAGAGGUGCAGAAAGAGAAGCAAGAGACCCACACAGCUGAGACGCAGCGGCAGGCACCGUCAGCUGAGCCGGGUGGGGCGGCGGGGAUACCAAUGUGAACCCCAGCACCCCUGGGAGCCCCCGGCCUGGCCAGAACUAGCUCAGAGAAGGUACCCGGUCGACUGCACUAACCCAGCCGGCCGGCCCCCUCCCUGUCCUGGCCUGUGCGUUCUCUCCACUUUCUGCGGCCUCUCUCCUGCCCUUGCCCCGGGGGGUGGGGGGGCAACAGAGGUCAGAGGUUAACGGGAGCCCAUUUGGCCUGAGCCUGGUAAGGGCAGAGCGAGGUCAGGCUAGCCCAGGGAGCCUGGCCCGCAUUCCCCACUGAGAGGGGGCUGUGGUCAGGAGUUCAGGGCGCCAGGGCUCAUACCUGGUGGAGGUCGGGCUCAGGACACACCUGGAGAAUCCCAUCUCCCUGUGGGUCUCCUGGUUUCCGACCACCCCACACUGCACCCCUCCCCCCCGCCCCCAGCAGUCUCUGGGCGUUCCUCUGUUGCUGCUCCUUGCACGUGCAUUCUGUCCCACACGGCUGUGCCCCUGUUAGACACAGUCAUCAAAAGGGUCCCCAUGAGCCACAGGAGUGGGGUGACUCCCUAAGCUCACCCAGCCUGGGUGGCAACAAGGAAGCCAGACAGGUUUCAGCCCAGCUCUGCACCUCCGGUGCUCCCAGCCAGUGCCCUGUGGCCCCUGGUGGCAUCUCCAGGGACGGGACAGCAGGGCCUAACCGUUCUUCCCAGGUCUCCCGGGAGCCUCCCACCCCCACAGACUCCCAGG